UUUGACGUUUUGUGAUUUUUUCGGUAAAAUGAUUACUGGAGAUAGUAUAGGUUAAAACAUCAGAGGAAGAGUUCCAUAGUAAGCCUAAGGUUUUAUUUUGUUCUCUACUGCCGAUGGUAAAACCGUGCUGUUCAAGAAGAUUGGAUAAAAUUCGUUUUAUGUAAAGAAGUUCUUCGAGUGAAUCACUUCCAGUAAGUAGAUCAUCUACAUAAAAAUCCUGCAGUAUGAUUGAAGCAAUUUUCGGAAAUUCAACUUGAUGAAGAUACGCCACUUCAUGUAGGCAUCGAAUAGACAGGAAAGCUGCACAGGCAGUUCCAAAACGAUGUUCGGGGUUGAUGUAGACCUGCCGAUACAUCUUGGUUAUGUCGGCACUAAGAACGAAUUUAUGUCUUCUGAAUCGUAGAACUAUUGAGAAUAAGUCGUCCUGUAUGGUUGGACCUACCAUCAAAAUGUCAUUGAGGGACAGACCAGAAGAGGAUUUAGCACUGCCAUCGAAGACAACACGUAGCUUUGUGGUAGAGCUGGUGUCUUUCAGGACACAAUGGUGGGGAAGAAAAAAACCAGAUUCGUCCGUUUGAUUGUCAGUUAGAGACAUGUGAUUCAAUGGCAAGAAAUCUGUUGGUAGAAGAUGUCCUUGAAUCGCCCAGUUUUACAGGUGAUUCUUUUAGGGGAAGAGAUACUGAAAAAUGUCCAUCAGGUCUGUGAGUUAUGUUUUGUUUAAAGUGAGUUUCGCAAGCAUUCUCCUCUUCGGAAACGUACUUCACUUCCGGACAUUGUUCAAUCUCCCAAAACUUGCAGAGUUGUUCGUUCAAUUCGAGGGUAUUAAUACUGAGGUUACACUGAUAUUCAGGAUUUGUUUGCCUUUUCGUUUGAAUUGGUCCCGAAAGAAUCCAACCUAGUUUGGUUUUUUGGAGAAUUGGUUGGCCGUUGCCAAGUUUUAUUUGACCAAUACUGACAAGUUCCCAGAAGAUUUCAGCUCCUAUUAGUAAAUCAACAGGGGUGGAUUCAUGG